rnacentral:rRNA from 1 species
AUUAUGUACAGGAGUCUGAGAAACGGACUCUACAUUUAUGGAAGGCAGCAGGCGCGCAAAAUACCCAAUCUUAAUACAGGGAGGUAGUGACAAGAAAUAACAAUACAGGACUUUAAAUAGUUUUGUAAUUGGAAUGAGUUAAGUAUAAACCCGGUUACAAGUAUCAAUUGGAGGGCAAGUCUGGUGCCAGCAGCCGCGGUAAUUCCAGCUCCAAUAGCGUAUAUUAAAGUUGUUGCAGUUAAAAAGCUCGUAGUUGGAUUUCUGUUAAUAAUUUAUAUAUAAUAUUUUAUUAAUAUUUAUAUAGUAUUAACAUAAUUCAUAUUACUAUAUUUUAUAGUAUAUGAAAUUUUACUUUGAGAAAAUUAGAGUGCUUAAAGCAGGCAUUAGCCUUGAAUACUCCAGCAUGGAAUAAUAUAAAAGAUUUUUAUCUUUUUUAUUGGUUCUAAGAUAAAAAUAAUGAUUAAUAGGGACAGUUGGGGGCAUUUGUAUUUAACAGUCAGAGGUGAAAUUCUUAGAUUUGUUAAAGACAAACUAGUGCGAAAGCAUUUGCCAAGGAUGUUUUAAGGCUCCAAACGAAAGGAGCGGCUCGAGUGUACGAUACAAUGAAACCUGCAAGGGCCUUUCCUAAAAAAAAAAAAAAAAAAAAAGGC